UGGGGAAUAUUGGACAAUGGGGGCAACCCUGAUCCAGCGACGCCGCGUGGGUGAAGAAGGCCUGCGGGUUGUAAAGCCCUUUCGGUGGGGAAGAAAAGUCUCGGCCUAAUACGCUGGGACCCUGACGUAACCCACUAAAGAAGCACCGGCUAACUCUGUGCCAGCAGCCGCGGUAAUACAGAGGGUGCGAGCGUUAAUCGGAAUUACUGGGCGUAAAGCGCGCGUAGGCGGCUUUUCAAGCCGAUUGUGAAAUCCCCGGGCUUAACCUGGGAACUGCAGUCGGGACUGUCUAGCUAGAGUAUGGGAGAGGGAAGUGGAAUUUCAGGUGUAGCGGUGAAAUGCGUAGAUAUCUGAAGGAACAUCAGUGGCGAAAGCGACUUCCUGGACCAAUACUGACGCUCAUGUGCGAAAGCGUGGGGAGCAAACAGG
rnacentral:rRNA from 1 species